GAUGAACGCUAGCUACAGGCUUAACACAUGCAAGUCGAGGGGAAACGACAUCGAAAGCUUGCUUUUGAUGGGCGUCGACCGGCGCACGGGUGAGUAACGCGUAUCCAACCUGCCCAUCACUUGGGAAUAACCUUGCGAAAGUAAGACUAAUACCCAAUGAUAUCCCACAAAGGCAUCGGAAUGGGAUUAAAGAUUUAUCGGUGAUGGAUGGGGAUGCGUCUGAUUAGCUUGUUGGCGGGGUAACGGCCCACCAAGGCAACGAUCAGUAGGGGUUCUGAGAGGAAGGUCCCCCACAUGGGAACUGAGGAACGGUCCAAACUCCUACGGGAGGCAGCAGUGAGGAAUAUUGGUCAAUGGGCGAGAGCAUGAACCAGCCAAGUAGCGUGCAGGAAGACGGCCCUAUGGGUUGUAAACUGCUUUUAUAAGGGAAUAAAGUGGGUCACGUGUGACUUUUUGCAUGUACCUUAUGAAUAAGGACCGGCUAAUUCCGUG
rnacentral:rRNA from 1 species